GACGAAGGUGGCAAGCGUUGCUCGGAAUUACUGGGCAUAAAGGGCGCGUAGGUGGCAUGGCAAGUCGGUGGUGAAAGCCUGUGGCUCACCCACAGAACCGCCAUCGAUACUGCUGUGCUCGAGGGCAGGAGGGGAGAGUGGAAUUCCCAGUGUAGAGGUGAAAUGCGUAGAUAUCAGGAGAAACGCCGGUGGCGAAAGCGACUCUCUGGACUGCACCUGACACUGAGGCGCGAGAGCUAGGGGAGCAAACAGG
rnacentral:misc_RNA from 1 species